rnacentral:rRNA from 1 species
UACAGAGGGGGCAAGCGUUGUUCGGAAUUACUGGGCGUAAAGGGCGCGUAGGCGGCCUUCUAAGUCGAACGUGAAAUCCCCGUGCUCAACCCGGGAACUGCGUCCGAUACUGGAAGGCUUGAAUCCGGGAGAGGGAUGCGGAAUUCCAGGUGUAGCGGUGAAAUGCGUAGAUAUCUGGAGGAACACCGAUUGCGAAGGCAGCUCGCUGGGACGUUACUGACGCUGAGACGCGAAAGCGUGGGGAGCAAACAGG